ensembl:lncRNA
ACCGGGCAACGGCAGGGGCGGGACUUGAGCCUUUAAAGGGACCUCUUGGCUCGCGUCCACCCGCUCGCUGGGGGGCGGGCGGGAUUGGAGGGCUGGGGAGGAGGAGGGCCCAGAAGCCGACCACGCCGGAGCCUCUGCCCCCCCAGCCGCCUGAGUGGCAGAAUCUCAGCCUAGAUGGGACCCCGGUUUCAUAAAUGAGGAAACGGGAACGCAAAGAGGGGAACUACCCAAGGUCACUCAGGUUUGGUGGCUAAGCAAGGGGUAAGAACCCAGGUCUCCGGAGCAGAGUGCUUCACUUCAAAGCAUCCCACAGCGAUUAGCGGUUUAUAUUUUGAAAGCACCAGGAAAGCUUCCCUUCUGAUUUAUGACAGUGAAUGUGUCAACCUUUACUGAACGAGAUUCUUGCUGGUGACUAACAAAAUUCCCUUCACCUCCAUCCUGCAGCAUUUUAAAGUUCAUCUUUUGGUUGAUUCCUGGCUAGGCUCUUCGCCCAGAUGGGCCCCUCCCUGCUAGACCGAAGUGGUUCCACUGACCUUUAUGACCCACAGAUGACCCGCUGAGCUUGCCUCACACUCUUUUGUGGCCGUGGGGGCAGAGGGUCGACGUGGGAGGCCUGGGCUGCACUGGGAGAGAAGGCAACAAAGGGGGCACUCAACUCCAGGCACCUGGGUAGAGGCUGGAGGGGAGAGGUCACCCCUUCCCGAGCAGUAGGCCUGCAGAGUGUUGAGUCAGAUCCUGGACAUUCUCUCCCCAUCUUCCAACCAAAAUAAGAGAUGGGGAGGUGGCUAACAAUUAUGGACCAUCCAUGAGAACCAGGGCCAAAAGCAGGAAGAGCAGGUGUGGGAAAUUCUCAAGGUCACAGAACCUUUGUGGAGUUGAAAAGAAGGCUCAGAUCAUCGAGUUUUACAGUUUCAUUUUCAGGUGAAGACACGGAAGCCCAGACGGGUAAAGAGACUCGUCGACAGUUGAACAAUAAACUAGCGAGCAGGGACCAACAGUGUGGUCCUCAUGGGUCCAGAGCAGGGCGGUUUCCGCAGCAGCAUGGAAGGACCCAGAAGCUAAACAUCCAAGACUGGGCCCUGUGUGAGUUUCUGGCUUGGAUGAAAGUGAAGACUAUACCAGAUAACAAGAGACAGGUGGAAGCUGAAGUGUGGUGUUCCAAGUCAGAGAUCUGGGUUGAGAUUCCCACCCUGCCACGCGCUAGCUACGUAACCCUGGGCAAGUUAUGUAACUACCUCAGGCGUCCGUUCCCUCACCUCCGAAAGAGGAUAAUCACAUUCCCCUCAUCACAGGACCAGGAUGAGGUUAAAGGCAGUAACCUGGGCCAAGCACCCAGUAUAAUGCUCAGCACAAAAUAGAUAGUAAUUUCCUUCACAUUUCCCGUGGAUUCUCUGUCCCUUCUGCGAUGGGCCUCUGCCCUCUAACUGGACAGAAGGGCACAUCUGUCAUAAAGAAAUCUGCAGGAUAGGGAGUGUCUGUGGUGAGUGUGAAUGAGGUGUGGACAAGGUGAGGAGGUUUGCGGGGCCCAAGUGCUCCUUGUUGAUGCGGGAGGUGGGAGGAAACCAAUUGGCAGAGUUAUUCG